UGUUUUUCAGGUGCAGCUUGUUUCUUUGUGAAACUUUUCUCAAACUAUGGCUCUACCUCGGUACGUUGUAUUAAUGACACAGGUCAAAUACAGUCAAGCGACAGUCAGGGAAACUUGUUCUUUCUGGAAUUUUCCGUCAACAGCUGUCUGAAUCCAGCUGCCCAGUUUCGCUUUCGUGAUAAUGGUGCCAUGUUGAAUCUAAAAAGACAGGGAUGUCUCGCUGCUUUAAAUAAGCCUGGUUCUGGUUAUGAUCUUGAUAUGUUUUAUCUUUACGUUGACUCAGUCAGUUUAGAUAGAGUUGCUUGCGCUCAAAAGCCUAACGAGAACAUCUAUCGUGCUAUAACCCAGACACCGCAAGGAAGCUUGUCUGUCAAUUAUAAAGGGAAAGAUAAGAGUUCGUUUGAAACCUGGUUUGCAUAUUAUAGACAAAGUGACAAACUUUCUAAAAGUUAUGGAAUUAAUGUCUACAUCGGAUUAAAGACAAACUAUGGAAACAGA